GCAGGGGUAGCCAAGUGGUCAAAGGCGCUAGGUUCAGGGCCUAGUCGAUUAGUUCGUUCGAGGGUUCGACUCCCUUCCCCUGCA
rnacentral:tRNA from 1 species